CAAUGAAAUUCGUUCCUUACGGAACGAGUGAAAUAUGCUUGUGGCAUAUGAAAUACGCCUUCGGCGUGUGAAAUG
rnacentral:sRNA from 1 species